rnacentral:rRNA from 1 species
UACGGGGGGGGCAAGCGUUGUUCGGAAUUACUGGGCGUAAAGGGCUCGUAGGCGGCCAACUAAGUCGGACGUGAAAUCCCUCGGCUUAACCGGGGAACUGCGUCCGAUACUGGAUGGCUUGAGUGUGGGAGAGGGAUGCGGAAUUCCUGGUGUAGCGGUGAAAUGCGCAGAUAUCAGGAGGAACACCGGUGGCGAAGGCGGGUCUCUGGGCCGUAACUGACGCUGAGGAGCGAAAGCGUGGGGAGCGAACAGG